ACUAAAACUUGAGUAUCUUUAGGUACAUCGUACCCAACGAACUUUGUGUCUUGUAUUGUGUUUCUUGGAAGGAGCAAAGGAAGUGGGGGAUGUAAUCUAAGUGUUUCCUUCACGACAACUUGCAAAUAUGGUAGUUUCUCUAUGUCACUCUCUUCAACAUUUCUGUUUUCUCCAACAACUUCAAUGAGUUCUUCUUUAACCUUUCUCAUGGCUUCAGGUUGACGAAGUAACUCUGCCAUGGCCCAUUCUAUUACUGUACUCGUAGUCUCUGACCCAGCAAAAAACAUUUCCUUCAACGUCAGACAAAACCAAGAAUAAUUAGUUAAUUAGCCUUUAUUAUUGUGCUUUGCAAAUUAGCAAUUACAAGACAUAAUACAAAAUCUUCAAGUAAUGCAAGUAUAUGCUUACCAAUACGAGUAUGAUGAGCCUUUCAUAUGGGAUCUUCUCAUGCCAAUCUUUGCCAUCACCUUCAAAUUCCAACAAAGUGUCUAAGAAGUCCUUACUAGCUUUCUCCUUAUCCCCAAAUUUGUAUUCCUCAAUCCUUUCUUUCACAAACCCUUCAACAAUCUCCAAAGCUCGUCCCAUAUCUCUCGUCAUGUUUCUCUUUAGUCCUUGUGGAUCUAACCAUUUCAAGAAUGGAAAAAAAUCUGCUAAAUUUGGCUUCCCAGCCCACACUGAAACCAUUCCCAUAGCUUGAAAAAAUUCAUACCCUUCUUUACACUGUGAAUCCACAACGUCUCUCGAGAGCAUAAGGUUACCAACUAUGUUGAAUGACAUUAGGAAGAGAUAGUGAGGUAAAUUCACUACCCCUGACUCUCCCCUUGCAGUUGCAGCUGCUGUAUCAUCUUCAAUACUCCUGAACAUCAAAGCAAUGGUAGUAUCACUAUUUCAAUCUAACUUCAUACAAAAAUACUAUAUCUAUAAACAGGAUUCAAAAGUCAGUGGUUACCUAAUCAUCUGGAGGAUGCACUUCCGCCGAAUGGAAGCUGUAUCAUUGACUCGCUUGACGGUCAUCAUUUCCACCGAGCAAAGACGCCUAAUCAUACGCCAGUAGGGGCUAAACUGGCCAACAGCAAGUGACCCAUCUCUGUAGUUAAGACAGUUAAAUACUUCAAGAGACUUACGGUCACAGAAGCUGGUAUCGUGAUUCUUAAGCAGCUCAGCCGCAGUCUUAGCUGAUUGUAUCACAACUGUAUCCAUGGAUCCUAGUCUGAGCCAGAGAACAGGUCCAUACUUAAACUUAAGCUCCUCUAAAGCUUGGUGUGGUGCAAUUCCUAGAUCAAAAAUAUUGCCCAAGAUUGGCCAACCUGGAGGCCCUGGAGGCAAAUUCUUGGUUCCUUGUCCCAAAAUUUUCCCUCUCCGGCAUACAAUCACAGCCAAAGAUAAGAACAAACUUGCCCAAACAAGGAAACCGCAGAUGAACUCCAUUAUUUCUCUUGAGUUCAAAGACUGCCCGUUCUAGUCGUUGUUCUAUGCUUCUGUUUUAUAUUCUCACGUAGGAAUAUAAUAUUGCAAUUAGUCAUAUUUUUGCGGCCACUGUUCUUACACAUGCUUGUUUGGAGGGUUGAAUAAAAAUCAAAUUGGGUCUGUGGAAUUCAAUUACUGCUUUUUAGAGAAAUUAGUUUUAAAUUUUUAUUUUACUAUUUUUAUUAAAAAAUUUAGAAAUCUUUUGUAUUUUUAUAAACAUUUCUUAAAUAUAAUAUAUAAUCUAUAGAAUUUUUUUCAAAAUAAUUUACAAUAUUAUAUGUUAAAAAAAGAAGAGAAAUUUAUUUUUUUAGAAGCCCAAAUAGGAUACGCUCAAAAUACCAAAUCUAAUUAAACUGAAUUAUAUAUAAUUUGAUUGGAUUCAUUCAAUUAAAUAAAUAUUAUUACUUAAUUUAUUUUUUAAUUAUUUAUAUCGAAUUCAGUUUGAAAGAGUCUUAUUUAAUUUCAAUAUGAUCACUUAUUAAUUAUUAUUUUUCUAAAUAAAUAUUUAAAAUAUCUUUCAUAUUUAACAAAAUUAAAUAUUAAAUAUUUUUUAAAUGGAUAUAAUUAGAGGGGAGUAUUCGGUCGGUUCGGUUCAAAAUCAAAUCGAAUCGAAUAAAUUGAAAAUCAAAAUUUUUAGUAUUUAUGAAAACUGAAUCGAACUGAUUUUGAUCAGAAAUCAAAUCAAAUCGAACCAGUCUGAUUCGAUUCGAUUUGAUUCGGUUUGAUCAGUUUAAAUUUUUAAUAAAUUUUUUAUUUACACUUUAUUUUUAUUUUUAGUAUUUUAAAAUUUAAGUAAAAUAUUUUAAUUUUAAUAUAAUUUAAUCUCUUUAUAUUAUUUAAAAUAAUAUAUUAUUAUCACUAAUCGUUUCGAUUUUUUUAAUUUUGUUAUUAAAUUUGAAUCGAAUUAAAAUAACUAAAAUUUUUAAAAUUAAAUAUUAAAUCAAAUUGAAAUGAAUAAAAAAUCAAAUCAAAUUUUUAAAUUAAUUUGAUUCGUUGAAUUUUUUCGAUUUAAAUCUAAUACUGCUCACCCUUAAAUAUAAUUUAAAAAUUAAUAAAAUAUUAUUUUUUAACAUUAAAAAAAUAAAAUAAAUAAAAAUUAUCAGAUAAAAAAUACUAACUUUAUAUAAAAAUAUCAAUUUUUUAUAUAAUAUAAAAUUAUGCAAUAUCAAAUAUAUAUACAUAUAUGUGGUGGCGGCUUUAGGAUUAAAAAAAUUGGAUAAAAGGCAAAGAUAAUGGAGUCCAUGAGAGCAAAUUGAAUGAUUCUAAACGAUAAGUUUUAAGAUGUUGAUGUUCCUAUUACAUUGACAUAUUGGGGGACCAUCGUCAUAAUCAUGCUUCAUAGUUAGACUUUAAUUUAGAUAUAUUAUGGCUCACACAGUAUUGAACUCGAUAAUAAAUAUAUUUAAAUAAAUUUAAAAAAUUUAAAUUUUUAUUUUUUUAUUUUCAAUUUUCUUUAAAGAAAAAGAAAAUUUUAUUGUAAAAAAAAUAAUUAUUUUAUUUAUUUAUUUCUACAAAAUUAAUUAUUUCUUUUUCUUAUCUCAAAAAAAUACAUUGUUAAUAACUCAAAAAAAAAAUUUUCAAAUUUUCUUUUAUUAAAACUUAUUCUGGUUAACAAUCAUUUUGCAUUCUAUCCAAACACUCCCUUAUAAUGAAGGCCAAGUAAAAGCCAAACCCAUGAUUAAGAAAUCAAAACUCCAAAGACAAUAUCAUACUUCAAUCAAAUACAGACAAAAACACACAUAUAGGCAUCACAAAAGAAGGUGAUGCCUUUUGUUCUGUGCAUUAUUUUGUGGGGAAACUUUUGGCUGCAUCAGAGAGUAUUACACUAAAUUAAUGGGUGAGUCUCAAUUGGCUUAAGCAAUUGAGUCUUAUUAUUAUUAACUUCAUUUUGGGUGUCCUUUCGAAAGGCUAGCCUCACGAGCAGCUGUAAACUUGGCAAUGAGCUUGUCCCUAGGUGGCCAGCUUUCUUGGAUUGUUGGGAUAUUGGAGAAUUCCUGCAUCCAAGAAGUUAACACUGGGAAUUUUUGCUGGUUUAUUAGUUUUACUGUGCUAUUACUGUUGCUUAUUCUUCUUCUCCCAUGGCUGAUUUCAUACCACCAACUACUUAUCAGCUAGGCUAACCCACUCCCUUCUUUAAAACCAAUUCCCUGCACUCCGCUCCUUUAAUUUUUUUAAAAAAAUUACUUUUAAAUUCUUGAAUUUAAAAAAAAAAUAGUCCACAUCUAUUUCAAAAUCACUCACGUCCUUUAUUUUGUAAAAUCAAACCUUUUAAUAUUUUUUAAAAAAAAUCAUUAGUCAAUUUAUUAACUUUAAUUAAAAAGAUUAAAAGGUAUGAAUGUUUAAAAUUAUAAAAACUAAAUAAUAUAUGAUGAUCUGAAAUCCAAUACAAUAGGGUUUUACAAGGGCUUUUGUACUCAAGAAGAACUCUCUCCUCUCUCUAGAGGGGUAUCCCUUUUAUCCUUUUCUUCCUGCCUACUGAUGACGUAUAACGGCUCUCCCCUUAUUGGACCACGCGUCUCUGCCACACAGAUAUGGGCGUACGAGAAAAUCAGGCGCCUGCUCCAUGCGUAACAGCCUCUGAUUCUCCCCCGUGCGUACACUCGAACGGAUCUGCCAGGCUGUAUGACGAGUCUCGUUCUGGAUUCUGGGCCGGGCCGUAAGCUGGGCUGGACGCUGAACCUUGGAGAAGAAGGAAUCCGUGGGGAGGUUGUAUGGGCUGGGCCGAUCUCGAUGAGGGAGAAUCUGGUGGAGUCCGGCCUCAAGGAUCUGGUGGUCCGGGCCUGUUUUACUUGAGAAGGCGUGCGGGCCUUCCUUUCAUGGGCCAUGGCCAUAAUCUAGGCCCAGGAUUGGGGGUAGAGAAAUCCAGCGGUCAUCAAUAUAUAUAAUUAAAAUUAGAUUUAUUGGAUAAAAAAAUUUAAACAUUCACUAUUUUUUAUAUUUAUAUUCUAACCUUAAAAUCUUGUAUAAUAAAAUCAAUUCUUUCAUAUUUAUCUCAAUUUUAGCUAUUUAUGUUAAUCAAUUUUGAUAAAAGAAAUUUAUUACACUCUCAUGCCACAUAAAAUUAUUUCUUAAAAGACUUAUUGAAUAAAAAAAUUCAAAUAUUUAUGUUAAUUUAUAUUUAUAUUCAAAACUUUAAAAUUUAAAUAAUAAAAUUAAAAUUUUUUAAUUUAUCAUAAUUAUAAUAAAAAAAUAAAUUGAAUUUGAAAAUUUUAUGUUAAAUUAUAAUAUAUUUCUUAAAUUUUUAUUUAACUAAUAAAACAGUUCUUAAAAUAUAUAUUUUUAUUUUAAUAAUAAUUUUUUUUAUUAAAUCCAUUAUUUACUUUUCAUUUUCAUUUUUAUACAUGCAUAGUAGUUUAAUAAAAAUUUAAAAUGUUAAAAAAUUAUAAUAUAAAAUAUAUAAUAUUUUAUUUUUAUUUAAUAUUAUUAAUAUAAAGUACAAUUUUUUAUCGGAUCAGAUAAUAAAUUAAUAUACAUCACAAAUUUACUUAUUAUACAGAUAAGAAAAUAAAAAUAUUAAAUAUUUUAAAUAACUUAUAAUAAAUAUAAUUAAUAUAUCUAAAUUUUUAUGAAAAUCAUAAAAGGAAUAAUUUUACAUACUAAAAAAUGUAAUAUUUCAUUUGAAUUAAUAUUAUUAAUAUAAAAUUCAUAUAUUAAAAAUAUAUGCAUAAUUUAUAAUAGUGAAUAUAAAUCUUCAAUAAAUUAUUUUAAUAUAUAAUAUUUACAUGUGAUAUUUUACAUAGUGAAAAUUUAUUUAUAAUAAUUAUUUAUUUAGUAUUACAUAUGAUAAAUAUAAAAUAAAAAUAUACUUUUAAUAUAAAUUUUAAAUUAAAGAACUAUAUAUUUAUUAAUAUAAAAACUUUAAGAACAAUAACUUUUCAAAUUCAAUUUUAUACCUCAAUUAAAAUUAUGAUAAAAGUUUGAUUUUUUUUUCCAAUAACCCUUAGAAUUAUAAAUUAUAUAAUUACCCCAAGACUCUCUCUGGUUGAUAGAGAGAAAGAGAUAUAUAAUCCUAACUUGAAAAUUCUACAAUAAUAUAUAUGAUUUGAGUGACAAGAUAUUAAACUCAAAGCCAGUCGUAGUUAUUUUAAUCCAUACCAUACAUCACACAACCAUAUAGUAUCUAGCUAGAUGUUACAUUCUUUAGCCAGCCAUCACUCCCGAACAUCUCUUGGGUAUCACAUUCAAAGGUAUAAGUUUUCGAACAGAUAUCCCAACCUUUUCUCUCAUAUCUAAAGUCUCAUGGGUUGAAUCCUUAUCAAGUUCCCAAUUAAAACAGUGAAUUAAAGAUGCUAGACCAAGGAGAAUUACUCUUUGAGCAAAUAACAUACCUACACAAAUCCUCCUUCCUGAUCCAAAUGGAAUUAGCUCAAAAUUUUGCCCCUUGUAGUCAAUGUUUAAACCUAGAAACCUCUCAGGCUUGAAGCUCAAGGGAUCUUCCCAAGAAUCUGGAUCUCUUCCUAUUGCCCAUGCAUUCACUAAAACUUGAGUAUCUUUGGGUACAUCGUACCCAACGAACUUUGUGUCUUGUAUUGUGUUUCUUGGCAGGAGCAAAGGAAGUGGGGGAUGUAACCUAAGUGUUUCCUUCACAACAACUUGCAAAUAUGGUAGUUUGUCUAUGUCACUCUCUUCAACAUUUCUGUUUUCUCCAACAACUUCAAUGAGUUCUUCUUUCACCUUUCUCAUGGCUUCAGGUUGACGAAGUAACUCUGCCAUGGCCCAUUCUAUUACUGUACUCGUAGUCUCUGACCCAGCAAAAAACAUUUCCUUCAACGUCAGACAAAACCAAGAAUAAUUAGUUAAUUAGCCUUUAUUAUUGCGCUUUGCAAAUUAGCAAUUACAAGACAUUAUACAAACUCUUCAAGUAAUGCAAGUAUAUGCUUACCAAUACGAGUAUGAUGAG
rnacentral:lncRNA from 1 species